AACGAACGCUGGCGGCAUGCCUAGCACAUGCAAGUCGAACGAGACCUUCGGGUCUAGUGGCGCACGGGUGCGUAACGCGUGGGAACCUGCCCUUAGGUUCGGAAUAACUCCCCGAAAGGGGUGCUAAUACCGGAUAAUGUCUUCGGACCAAAGAUUUAUCGCCUUUGGAUGGGCCCGCGUUGGAUUAGCUAGUUGGUAGGGUAAAAGCCUACCAAGGCGACGAUCCAUAGCUGGUCUGAGAGGAUGAUCAGCCACACUGGGACUGAGACACGGCCCAGACUCCUACGGGAGGCAGCAGUGGGGAAUAUUGGACAAUGGGCGAAAGCCUGAUCCAGCAAUGCCGCGUGAGUGAUGAAGGCCUUAGGGUUGUAAAGCUCUUUUACCCGGGAUGAUAAUGACAGUACCGGGAGAAUAAGCUCCGGCUAACUCCGCG
rnacentral:rRNA from 1 species